UACGUAGGGGGCAAGCGUUGUCCGGAUUUAUUGGGCGUAAAGAGCGUGUAGGCGGCUUUACAGGUCCGUUGUGAAAACUCGAGGCUCAACCUCGAGACGUCGGUUGAAACCAUCUGGCUAGAGUCCGGAAGAGGAGAGUGGAAUUCCCGGUGUAGCGGUGAAAUGCGCAGAUAUCGGGAAGAACACCCGUGGCGAAGGCGGCUCUCUGGGACGGUACUGACGCUGAGACGCGAAAGCGUGGGGAGCGAACAGG
rnacentral:rRNA from 1 species